GCAAGUUAAGAUCUAUAAACUCAUUUGGGAAUUGAACAUAACCCGAUUCCAUUAAACUAUCGCUUACUUUUGAUGAAGAAGAAGCAGCGAUUGAUAAACUCACAAGAUGCGAUGAUAUUUUAUGUCCACCCAGUGCUUGACCCGACCCGUAUAUUUUUCCACAAAACGGACAUUCAUGCACUUUCUGAUCCAGAUUCUUCAAUCUCAAUUGUCUCGAAUUUUCUUUUGACUUGAUCCCCUCGUUUUUGUCUUCAAUGUAAGAGUUGUCCUUCUUGUGAAUUGUUUCUGACUGCCUAAAGUUUGAGAUGACUUUAACACUUUGUUACAAAUCUCACAUUGGUACUUCCCUUGUUUUUGAUUUCUAAAUUUUGACUAUAAUAUGCACUCAACUCGACAAAGUGAAGUGCUCCAGUUUACUGCAGAUUUUGCAGUUUAGUUGCUGAUUUUUGGCGUAGUUUGGUGCUGGUUCUGGUGUGCAGUGUGGUGCUCAUUUGUGCAGUUCAAUUGCUGAUUUUUGCUACAGUUUGGUUGUUGAUUUCUGCAAUUUGAUGCUGGUUUUUCUAGUUUUAUGCUCUUUAUUUCUGCAAUUUUCUUUGCAUUUUUCUGCAGUUUCAUUGAUGUAGUGACUUUUUU
rnacentral:lncRNA from 1 species